CGUCCAGUUAAAAGACCCGAGGCGCAGCUGAGCAGCUUUCCCUCCAGCGCGCCUACAAAGGUUUAAACGGGUCCCCAGUCCCUCCUUAAAGCAAGAUCGGUUGGCUACAUAAAAGCUUCUCCAACUCUAAGAGGUACUCACUUCUUCCCAGCUGUAAACGCGUUACCACACUGCCGGACACAAGGACCGCUUUCCAAGAGAUCUCUGCACCUCGACACAAUAAACCGGCAAAGUUUCGUUUUCUCUAGCAGCUCGCUUCGCUCUCACUGGAGGCUGCGCAUAGUUUCGCUUUCCUAACGUCACGCAAAAGGCUCCACCCACCCUCCGGCUCUCUCUGCCAGCCAGGUUCCGGAAGUCUCUUGAGCACGUCAGAAGUGGCCUCGAGGCAUUCAGGGCGCGGGCUUGACUCUCCCGCAAAUGGUGAAAAGGCGGCGGCGCGGUUCUGUUUUCUUUCCCGGACCGGUGUUUAAUUUGCGAACAAAAUCUGGCAAGAUUCGCAACUGCUAGAACUAGAAGCCAUGCCAAGCCAUGCUCCUCACCUGGUACCAGUAGGGUGUAUAGCUAGUGCAGAACCUGGUGGCCGCAGGCACACAGUGCAAGGGAUCUGGAAGGCCAAGACCAAAAUGUGGCAGGCCGGGGUGGAGGCAGACUAGCGCAGAACAUAGUGGAUUGGCGAGACUAUGAGAAUUCAACCGAAUAGAAACAGAGCCUGACAGAAUCUGAAGUCUACUUAUUAACAUCUCACGGGGUUACCUGCCACGGCACACUUUUGCUAGCCUGGCAAGUAAGAUACAGGUUGUCAGCUCCUUGGGUGAGAGUUGACUGUGGUCAUUUAGCAACAAUGAGGAAAGGCCAAUCUGCAAAUGCACUUUAGGAGCUUUGCUUAAGGCACCUAGCAAGUCUCUGGCAAUGGUGAGGUUUGAACUGGGGACUUCUUGUAUAACUUAGUCUCUUUGACACUGACACUGCAUUGUUUUACAGUACAACAGAUACUGUCCUCCCUGGUCUGAAGAUACUCAGAAUAUGAGUUAAGGGUCAAGUUUUGGUAAUACUUAGAUCAGACUAAGUUGUAUUUCAACCUUUUCCACAGCUAUUUUUGGAUUUCUUAUGUUUACACAGAGAAAUAAUAAAUAAAUAAGAUGGAUCCCUGUCCUCAAAGGGCUCACAAUCUAAAAGAAACAUAAGACAGACACCAGCAGCAGCAGUCACUGGAGAUACUGUGCUGGGGGUGGAUAGGGCCAGUUACUCUCCCCCUACUAAAUAAAGAGAAUCACCAUGUUAAAAGGUGCCUCUUUGCCAAGUUAGCAGGGGUUGGGUUUAACAUGUUGGAUUUGAGUAAUCUGUUGCCUCCCAGACAUUUGUCUAAAGUCCCAUUGCAUUGUUCAUGAAUGUAGAGCUCAAGGAAGGUUGGAGUUUAGUUUUAAGAACAGGAUGGAAGCCUAAGGAUGUAUGAGUGUGGCAUGCAGUGAGGAAACCAUGGUUUGAUAAUCUGGUUUGUAUGGAGUGCUUAUUGGGGUUUCAACCUUACAGGAAACGAUAGCUUUAAAAACCAGAAUGCUUUCCGUUUAGCUGGGCACAUGAGAUAAAUUAGAAAGAGGAGGAGAGAAUGUGCAUGCUCUGUACUCAAGGAUGGCUGCGGGGGGGGGGGCGGGGGCGGGUAAAGUGUUCCCCCAACAAGUAUGUUGCCCUCCCACCUUCCCAAUUCUGCUUCAGAAAUCUAAUAUGUGGAAUACAUCUCACCCACCCAUAAAUGUACUUGGACCCUUCUGUGCCCCCCCCUUUUCUGGUGCCACCAUUGCCUGUUCAAUCUGGCAAACUAUACAGUAGGGUGGCGCUAUGCUAUAGAAUGCAAGUGAGAGAGAAAGACCAAUAAAGCCUCUCCAGCAGCUAACUUCCAUACCCCAGAGUUCCAGUGCAUUCUGGAACUCUGAGUCAAUAAGGAUUAAGAUCUGUCUAACCUGUGUGUGCACCUACUGACUAUCUAAAUGAGGACAACUUCAGCCCCUGAGUUGUUGUUGGACUGCAACUUGCAUCAUCCCCAGUCACAGUGGUCAUUGGUCAGGUCAUGGGCGUUUUAGGCCAACAUCUGCAGAAGGGCCAGAGCUGUACAGAGUUAUAAUUUAAGAGCUGGUCUUGUGGUAGCAAGCAUGACUUGUCCCCUUAGCUAAGCAGGGUAUGCCCUGGUUGAAUAUGAAUGGGAGACUAGAAGUGUGAGCACUGUAAGAUAUUCCCCUCAGGGGAUGGAGCCGCUCUGGGAAGAGCAGAAGGUUCCAAGUUCCCUCCCUGGCUUCUCCAAGAUAAGGCUGAGAGAGACUCCUGCCUGCAACCUUGGAGAAGCCGCUGCAAGUCUGUGAAGACAAUACUGAGUUAGAUAGACCAGUGGUCUGACUCAGUAUAUGGCAGCUUCCUAUGUCCCUAUGUACAGCCCUGAUCUAGACCUAAGUUUGAGCCUCUUAAAGCCCAUUCAAAAGCAGCAAACUGCAGUCAGAAAGAUCUCCCGAUGCCUUCCCAGGGCACCCCUUUAUCAUAUGGGUCCGUGUCGAGGAGUGCCGUUAACCCAAAUGGUCCCUACGCAUGUACUCCAGAAUACUUGUUUAAACAAGUAUCUGGAGCAGAUGUAUGAGGUGGGGGCAUUUGGAUAAACAGCCCCCCCUUCCACACAAUAAAGAGAUGUGUCAGAAGUACAUUCCAAUGGGCAUACUCUUGUCUCAAUAUGUCGCCUUUAUAUUCUAGCUCCAGGCGGUCUUGGAGGAAAUCAGUUAUCUAGACCCAUUUCAAACUGGCUUUCGGGUGGGCUGUGGGGUGGAGACUGCCUUGGUCGGCCUGAGGGAUGAUCUCCAAUUGGGAAUUGACAGAGGGAAUGUUACUCUGUUGGUCCUCUUGGAUCUCUCAGCAGCCUUCGAUACUAUUGACCAUAGUAUCCUUCUGGAAUGUCUGAGGGGGUUGGGGGUGGGAGGCACUGCUUUGCAGUGGUUCCGCUCCUACCUCACGGACAGAUUCCAGAUGGUGUCUCUUAGAAACUGUUGUUCUUCAAAAACUGAACUUUUGUAUGGUAUCCCUCAGGGGUAUUGUCUCCAAUGUCUCCAUAUUGUCCAAUGUCUCCAUAUUGUCUCCAAUGUUGUUUAACAUCUACAUAAAACUGCUGGGAGAGAUCAUCAGGAGAUUUGCUGCGAGAUGUUAUCAAUAUGCUGAUGACACCCAAAUCUAUUUCUCUAUGUCAACAUCAUUAGAAGGCAUAACCUCCCUAAAUGCCUGCCUGGAGGCAGUAGUGGGCAGGAUGAGGGAUAACAAACUGAGGCUGAAUCCAGAUAAGACAGAGGUACUUAUUGUGCUCAGGAGAUGAUUUAGAUCUGCCAAUUCUGGAUGGUGUCAUGCUCCCCCAGAAGGAAGAGGUAUGCAGCUGGGGUGCUUCUGGAUCCCAAACUCUCCCUGGUGUCCUAGGUUGAGGCGGUGGCCAGAGGUGCUUUUUAUCAGCCUAGGAUGAUAUGCCAGCUGUGUCCAUUUAUUGAGAUGGAUGACCUCAAAAUGGUGGUACAUAUGCUGGCAACCUCUAGGCUGGAUUACUGCAAUGCACUCUUAUGUGGGGCUGCCUUUGUAUGUAGUCCGGAAACUGCAGUUGUUCCAGAAUGCAGUGGCCAGGUUGGUCUCUGGGUCAUCUAGGAGAGACCAUAUUACUCCUGUGUUGAAAGAACUACACUGGCUGCUGACACAUUUCCGGGCAAAAUACAAAGUGCUGGUUAUUACCUAUAAAGCUCUAAACAACUUAGGCCCUGGGUAUUUAAGAUAAUGUCUUCUUCGCCAUGAACCCCAUUGCCUGUUAAGAUCAUCUGGAGAGGUUAGUUUCCGAUUGCCACCAACUCGUUUGGUGGCUACCCGGGAGCGGGCCUUCUCUGUUGCUGCCCCUCGACUUUGGAAUGUUCUCCGUGUUGAAAUAAGAUCCUCCUCAUCUCUGGCAAUGUUUAAAAAGGCACUGAAGACAUAUUUAUUCACCCAGGCUUUUAAUUAGAUUUCUAGUUUUAAUAUUUUAAUGUUGGGUUUUUAAAUGAUUUUAAUGUUUAAAUGAUUUUAAUCGUUUAGCUGAUUUAAUGUUUAAAUGUUUUUAACUGUAAACCACCCAGAGACACAGGUUUUGAGCAGUAUAAAACUGCUAAAUAAAUAAAUAUUCAUGUAUGCUGGGGGCUGUAUCGGAACUGGCCCUCUGUUCUUCCAGUGCAUUCUUCUUGGAGUUUUAAACAGGUAUGUAGAUGGCAAAUAAUGAUCCAGAAAUGUAAAUUUUUUCUAGAUUAUUUUAUCUUACAGGAAACAGUGGUCUUGUUUUCUAGCAAUUGAAUUAGUUUAACGGGUAGCUGUCUCACAAUGGUAACAGGAAGAAGUUGCCUGAACCACCAUGGGGUUACUCUGGGGCAGUUACAUUUUCUAAACAGUGGCAGGUGCCUCUUUUAGGUCACUGUUUUCCAAUCAUGUCCUGAAACAAAUAACAAACCCUGUGUUCUAGGUUGCAAUAACCUCUUUCGGGGGGUGGGUAGCCAUCCUUUACUGCUAGUCCUAAACAGCUUGUGCAUUUUGCUACCUGAGCAUUAAAAGUCUCUUUCCUCAAUAAAGGGAAACAGGAACACGGCAAGUCCCAUCCUUCCAUCAGUGUACUAACAUAAACCUGUUAAAUGCCGGACUGGCAUUUCUAGUUAGCAUCAGAUCUGCUCCUUUAACAACUUGGAAAGGAAGUCCUUUUUUGCUGAUUUGAUGUUACAUUUGUUUCUGAUAAUUUAAAUAUGGUUAUGUUUUUUAUUUUAUCAUAUUUUGUAAGUGUGUGUGUGUUUGGUAGUCACCUUGGACAGUUAUGGAAAGGUGGGGUACACUUCUGGAUAGUGUGUAUCCACACUAACUAGUUAAUUAUUGUGCUGUUCGCAUGCUACAGUUCCUAUCUUUCUCUUGCUUUUCUGAUGUCCACAGAGAAUCCCAUAUCACCCAGAAAAACACAGGCAUGUAAUGUGUAACUGGCGAGGGGCAAAGAUCUACUCUAGCCAGGGCUGUCCAUUCUGUUGACUGAACUAAUUUGCCAAAAGCAUCUUGUGGGUGGAGUCAAACACAAAUAUGAAAAGAAGAUGCAAUAACCGACCAUAUUCACCCAAACCAAAGAUGACUGAAUUUAAGACAACCCCCUUAAGUAUUAAGUAUUGCUUUAUGUUGGUCUAAGACUGUAAAAAGAUUGAUUGGUUGAAUACAGGUUAUGCCUGCAUUUAUUUAAAAGGAACAGGACUCUGAAUUUAAGAUGACCUCCAGAUUUCUAAUUUGGAAAAAACCUAGUCUUGAAUUCAGGUACAUACAGUAGUAAGUAUGGGUGGAAGAUUCCACUGGAAUAUUUAAAACAUCAAAAUUGUAUAAAAGUAUUAUAAAUAAAGAGGUGCAAACUCUCCAGUCCAACGGAUGCAGGGUAUGUUAUAGUUCUCAUAGGAACGGUCCUAAUUCGGGCGGUGGGGGGAAGCUAACAUAUAUUGUUAAUAAAACAUAAGAUGGUUGCAAAACAGAUAGUAAAGCUGCAGGAAGGAAAGGGCAAUUUUAAGAGUACAACAGAGAUAUUCCAAAUUGAAUGAGGCAAUGAAGUCACCUCAAGAGGAGUGCUGCAGCAGCACAGUUAACACUUAAUGGAAGCUGUUAUAACCACCAUGCACCAAUCUUCAUGCAGCUGCUGAGCUGGAAAGAGAUCACAGUGUGGAUUAUUUCCCCCCUCAAGCUAGAUAAAAACUCAAUCAGGUAACAGGAGCAGCAUUUGCAAGUCAAUCCAGGCCAUCAAGACAAGCAUUUGGUCGGGCCAUCCUCAUUCUUCUCCCUUGCAUGUCAACUUGUUUGCCUCCCAAAGCUGAACCACCAACAAACAUGAGAUGGGGCUAGAGGUUUAGCCUUAGACGCAGGAAGAAACAUUUUAUUUUAGAUUCCGUAGUUUCAGCUACGACAAGGGUGGCUUUUUUCUCCUUAUUUCCCCUUCCCCAAGUUUUGGCCACUUAUAUUUUACAGCGCCCCAAAUCAGCUGCCUCUCUGUUUCCGGCCACUCGCAUGGCACCCGAGUUCCGCUUUCCUACAUCCUUCCUGCGUUGCUCCCGCCGCCGGUGUCAGCAGCAGCAGCAGCUUUGAUUCUUCUGGAAAGCGCUGUCGGACGAAGAGCGGCAGUUCAGCUGAACGAGAGAGUGUGGCGAGUUGUACUUGAUGCUUUAAAGUGAUUCUUCCCACCCCCGCCCCAUUGUGCCCUAGGGAGAUGUAUACACAGAAUCAGGAGGAGCACACCAGGGCUUUUCCGCUUCGGGUGGGAUGAAUACUUUUGUUCCAGCUAAUCCUUGGUUGGAAGGCUAAACGCAGUCAUCCGCUCCACUACAAUGACUGCCAAUUGCACUUCUGUUUCUUUAACAGCCGCAUUACAAAGGAACUUACGCAGGUUUUCAGAACUUGGAGGUGUUGUAAUCGAAGAAGUGUUAGCAUGACCAGUCAACAAUAUUCAAAGUGAAGGGCAAUGAUAAUGUAUCCACUGCACUGUCUGCAAAGAUGAUACAAACUGGACAUGUUAGAUAUAUCCCACCUGUUAUUUGUGUAAUUUGGAAGUUGAAUCAUUUUGCAAAAGUCAGAUAUUUACUGUGAAAGCCUUAACAAAAACAGCUUGAUAGGAAGCUUGUCUUGUAGAUGAGGUUGCAGUUGUUUCAGAGUUCCCGGUUACUUAUCAACACAGAGGUGCUGUAGUGAGUAAGGCAGUGGUUCCCAAACAGGGUUCCUCCAGUUGUUGAUGAACUAUGACUCCCAUCAUUCCCAACUUCGAUUUGUGGCUGUGGGUGAUGGGAGUUGCAGUUCAGCAACAUUUGGCGCAACCAUGGUUGGGAACCACUGAAGCAAGGAGUGGAGGGAGGACCAGGCCUCACUUAAAUUUAUUUAUUUACUAUACUACAUUUUUAUACGGCCUUUCUGCCUUGACAAAGGCACCCACAGCGGUUUACAAUAUUAAAAGAAGCAAAUAACAGAUCAAUAAAACAUUGUCUCAGGCUGUUGGUCUUUUCAAGAGCUGAGGCCAAGA